rnacentral:rRNA from 1 species
UGAGUAACACAUCGGAACAUGUCCAGUAGCGGGGGAUAACCUGUCGAAAGAUAGGCUAAUACCGCAUACGAUCUACGGAUGAAAGCGGGGGACCGCAAGGCCUCGCACUAUUGGAGUGGCCGAUGUCGGAUUAGCUAGUUGGUGAGGUAAAAGCUCACCAAGGCGACGAUCCGUAGCUGGUCUGAGAGGACGAUCAGCCACACUGGAACUGAGACACGGUCCAGACUCCUACGGGAGGCAGCAGUGGGGAAUUUUGGACAAUGGGCGCAAGCCUGAUCCAGCCAUGCCGCGUGAGUGAAGAAGGCCUUCGGGUUGUAAAGCUCUUUCGGUGAAGACGAAACGGUUAGCGUUAAUAACGCUGACUAAUGACGGUACUCACAGAAGAAGCACCGGCUA